rnacentral:rRNA from 1 species
UUCGCAAUGCCCGAAAGGGUGACGAAGCGACGCCGCGUGUGGGAAGAAGGCCUUCGGGUUGUAAACCACUGUCGGGAGUUAAGAAAUGUAAGGGUGUUAAUAGCAUUCUUACUUGACGUUAGCUCCGGAGGAAGCCACGGCUAACUCUGUGCCAGCAGCCGCGGUAAUACAGAGGUGGCAAGCGUUGUUCGGAAUUAUUGGGCGUAAAGAGCACGUAGGCGGCCCUGCAAGUCAGCUGUGAAAUCCUUCUGCUCAACGGAAGAACGGCAGUUGAUACUACAGGGCUCGAGUGCGGGAGGGGAGAGUGGAACUUCUGGUGGAGCGGUGAAAUGCGUAGAUAUCAGAAGGAACAUCGGCGGCGAAAGCGACUCUCUGGCCCGUAACUGACGCUGAGGUGCGAAAGCUAGGGGAGCAAACGGGAUUAGAUACCCCGGUAGUCCUAGCCGUAAACGAUGGGCACUAAGUAGAGGGGUU